rnacentral:rRNA from 1 species
ACUCCUACGGGAGGCAGCAGUCGAGAAUCUUCGGCAAUGGGCGAAAGCCUGACCGAGCGACGCCGCGUGCGGGAUGAAGGCCCUUGGGUUGUAAACCGCUGUCAGGGGGGAGGAAAGGAAACUUGACCGAGCCCCAGAGGAAGCACGGGCUAAGUACGUGCCAGCAGCCGCGGUAAUACGUAGGGUGCAAGCGUUGUCCGGAAUUAUUGGGCGUAAAGAGCUCGUAGGCGGUUUGUCACGUCUGCUGUGAAAAUCCAAGGCUCAACCUUGGACUUGCAGUGGGUACGGGCAGGCUAGAGUGCGGUAGGGGAGAUGGGAAUUCCUGGUGUAGCGGUGGAAUGCGCAGAUAUCAGGAGGAACACCAAUGGCGAAGGCACAUCUCUGGGCCGUAACUGACGCUGAGGAGCGAAAGCGUGGGGAGCGAACAGGAUUAGAUA